rnacentral:lncRNA from 1 species
AAAAACAAAAAGAUCAAAUAACAAAGAGAAAAGGUGAGAAAACAAGUGUAACAAAGAGAAAAAUCAGACAACACAUUAAGUAAACAGAGAGAAAAAAAGAAAGUUGAAGUGGAAAUUUCUAUCAAAGUUUUCGACGACGAUGCUUGGACUUCACUUUAAUACAUUAACAGGUUCUAUUUUAAUUUUGUACCAUUUAUAUUGUAAAUUCACUGUAAAAAAGUAUGAAAUUGAAUGUUAAAAUGAUCUUGAACAUUGUUUAGCAUUCAAGUUACAGAAUGUGUAUAUAUUUGUAUGCAGAUGUGUUGAAUACUUAAAUAUUGUAUAUUAUUAUUGUCUACUUAAAAAAUGAAUUCGCUAUUUACACCAUAUACACAAAUUCACAUAUAUCCAUCAGACAUAAAAAUACACUAUAUACAUUUAAACUAUAUUUUACAAUACAUAUCAACACACACGCAUAGAGUGUAAAAAUUAGUGAAUGAAAUAGGAUAAAAGAGAAUAAGAAAGAUCAAAUGAAGAAUAAUGUAGAAGAUAAAUGAAAGGGUGAUCGAAAUCACCGAAGUACACACGUUUCUUAUAAAAUUUUCACUGGUAAACCAUUAAAAAAUGACCCUGUCUAUUUUCUGGCGACUACUCAUCAGAAACUCGCCGGAAACCGUUGGAAAAUCACCAAAAAAUACAGAUAUGGUGCUGGCAGCGUCACUUCCGCAAUUCCCAUCGCUGGAAAUCCCAAAAAGCCGGCCAAAACUCUCUCCCGUCGCAGGCGCCAUCCCUUCUCCCCUUUCCGACGACCAAAUGGCCGGAUCCGUCCUUUUCUACCACUGACAUCAUUAUUCCGGCCGCCGGAAAAUCUCAAAAAACACCGACCAAAACCAACCCCCGUGCACGCUGUCUCAUCUCGUCGGCGAGACCACCAACCCGCCGGCAAAGCCCACACCGCUGUCGUUCCUCCUCUCCCUUCCCGUCGACGAUCUGCCGAAAACUUCCCAAAAAACGGCGGAAAAUCACCCACCAAUGGUGAAACCGUCGCCGGAACCAACGCUACCGCCCUCUAGUUUUGUCCAGCGAACCCCAUCCGGCAUCCACCGUCUCUCUCCCUCUUUUCCGACGGUUGUAGAUGCAAGCAAAAAUUAAAUUGGAACUUCAUUAGGUUUCAAAUUAAUUAAGUAAAAAUGGAACAAAAGAAUCUUUGGUAAAUAUCUUUGUUAAUUAAUGUGGGAAUCGUUUUUGUAUUUUUAAAGAAUCAGAUAUGAAAAUCUUAAUAAAAUUAGCAUAAUAUAUAUAAUUUUUUUUAUUUUUUUUAUUUUAUUAUUUUUAUUUAUUAUCACUAAAAAAGUUUAGCAACUAUUUAUUUAAUUAAUUAAUUACUUUAAUUGAAUAUGGCUUUAAUUUAUCGUUAAGAUUAAAUAACAUUUUGAAUAGAUAAAUUGAUACGAGUUUAUAAAAGAUAAAUUAAUGUUUCAGCGUUAGAUAAAUUUUAGACACGUUUUGAAAUGUUUGUCUCAAUUAAGAAUGCGGUGCACGUAUCUUUUCGAGAUAUUUUAAAAUUCAAGGAUACAAUAAUGCACCUUGAUAAAUAUUUUUUAAAAAAAAAUAACUUUUCAUCAAUUUAUUUAGUAUAAGAUAAUAGAUAAGUUUUUGGAAUAAUAAAAAUGAGUGAAUUUAGGCCUUAACAUAAUUUAUCAAAAUAGUUUUAGUUAAGUAUAAUUCAAUAAAGAGACCGUGCUAGAACCAUGGGACUCGAGGGCAGUGGAGGAUCUACAUAGGGUCCAGGAGGUUCAUCCGAACCCCCUUUGUCGGAAAAUUAUAUUAUUUUUACAUGGUAAAAUUAUUUUUUAUGUAUAAAUAGUAAAGGUUGAACCCCCUUCGAUUAGUCCGUAUAUGUAUUACUGAACCCCCUCACUGAAAAUCCUGCAUCCGUCCCUACUCGAGGGGUGCCUCACACUUUUCCUUCGGUCAACAGAAUUCCUUACCCGAUCUUCUAUUCUCGCAAACCAAAAUAAGAGUCAUUUCCUAUUGACUAGGGAUUCAAAAAGGUGACUUGAAAUACCAUAACUCAAUUUCAAGUGGCGACUCUGUAAUAAAAAUAAUCUUUAUUCAAUACCGUUACUUUAAUUGAAAAAACCAUCAACUUUGACCCUUCGGGCGAACAAGGAGUGUGGCAUCCCAAUAAAAAUAAAUAAAUAAUAAUAAUAAUAAUAACUAAAUUUUUUUUAUAUUUAGAAAAUAUAAUAAAAGUUUAUAAAUAUUCUAAAAUAAAUAUAAUUAAAAGAAUAAUAAAAUUGCUAGCUUAUUUAUUAAAAUUAAAAGAAAAAUAUAUAUUUUUUAAUUUUUAUAUUAUUUUAAAUACAAAAAUAAUAAAAAUACUUAUAUUUAAAAAAUGUAACUUUAUUUAUCAUUAUUUUUAUUUUAUUUUCAAUCAAAACUUAUCAAAAAUAAAAUAAAAGCUAAGAUAAAUAUUGGACAAAAAAUAAAAAUAUUUAAUGCCAAAAAAUUUAUUAAACUCAGGAAGGGUAAAAAAUCACGUGUCUACAUUAGCUUAAGUUUCUCUUUUUACUUUUGUAUUAUUUUGAUUUUGUGAUGCAUGACUUUAUUCAUCCUUGUAUUGAAUAGGGAGAAUAAAGAGAGGUGAUAAAGAGGAAAGAUCAAUAGUCUUUAGGUUACAAGAGUUAUAAAAAACUAAUGGCACUAAUAGUCAGGAGAGUUACAACAAAAUAACGAGAGAAGUUAUAAAUUACUAAAGACCACAUUCUACCAUCAUUAACAAUUAGAGCAACGUGGCUAGAUAAAUAGUCUUGUUGUUACAUAUGUUACAUGCAACUAAUGACCAGGGAGUUACAAUAAUUAAUGAUUAACAAGAUAUAAUGUAGUAAAUUCUGAACAAAUAAAGUGUUAGAAGUUACAAGAAUUAUCAAAAUAUAAUGACACCACUUUCUUCACUUUAUAUCCACAAAUUAUCAUGCAAAUUAAGAUUUUAAUAUUAAAAUACAUAACAACACCAACAUAAAGUAAUUUGGACUGAAAUCAAAUUCUGUAGAAAUGAAAAAGGGAAAGUGAAAAAUAAAUUUAUAUUUGAUAUAUCUUAGUUUUCUACUUAUUAAUAAGUCACAGUUUGAGCAGCUUUAAGUCCUCCUCUUUGCCAAUCAUUAGCUACUUGUUCCGUAAUUUUACUAUAUCACUCUUAAUUAAUUAUUAUAUGUUAUUUAUGUAUUAAAAAAUUAAUAAUAUUUAAUAAAAAAAGUAAAAUAAAUAUUUAUGACAUGUCUGUUUCAGCUUCUUCAAUCGUAAUUUUACUAUAUCAUCUCUACUUAAUUAUUAUAAGUCAUUUAAGUAUUAAAAAAUUAUUAUAAAGUCAUAUAAGUAUUAAGAAAUUAAUAAUAUUUAAUGCUAAAUUAACUUAGCGCCUUAUAUGAGACUCACUUAAAUAUUUUCCACGAGUAUUUUUUAUAGUAAUUUUGUUAUAUCACUUCUAAUUAGUUAUUGUCGUCCUUCUUGGCGACCAUUUCGCUGCUUAUUUUGUUAUUUUAUUAUAUCACCCCUAAUUAAUUAUUAUAUGUCAUUUAUUUAUUAAAAAUUAAUAAUAUUAAAUAAAAAUAGUUAAAUAACCAUAAUCUUACUAUAUUGCCCCUAAUUAUUUAUUAUAAGUUAUCUAAGUAUUAAAAAAUUAAUAUUAAAAAAUUAUUAUAAAGUCAUAUAAGUAUCAAAAAAUUUAUAAUAUUUAAUGCUAAAUUAAUUUGGCGACUUAUAUGAGACCCACUUAAUUUUUUUCACAAGUAUAUUUUUAUAGUAAUUAUGUUAUAUCACUUCCAAAUAGUUAUUACAUAUAAGUCAUCUAAGACACGUCUAUUUCGCUGCUUCAAUCAUGAUUUUAUGAUAUCACCCCUAAUUAAUUAUUAUAGUCAUCUAAGUAUUGUGCCACUUAAAUUGGAAUAGAAGAAAAAGUGUUAUAAAUCAUAAUAAUUAAAAAAAUUAAAUUAUUUAAAAAGUAUAAUUGACUAUCAAUGCCACAAAAUUUUGAACAAGAAGUGUGAUAUAUAUUAUUUUAAAAUUACUUUAAAAUAUUAUAAAUUACAAUAAUAACUUAAAAUAUCUAAAAGAAAUAAUUUAAUAUUUUAUAUAUUUCAAGAAAAUACGUAAAAAAUAAUAUAAAUCACAAUAAUUAGCAAUUUAAAAUAUUUAAAUGUCAAUCUGUCUGUUUUGGCAUAACUUCAUUGGUCAUUUUCCUUGCCUUCAUUUUUUUCAUCCAUUUUAAUUUGCUUGUGUUAUUUUUUUUAAAUAUGUUAUAUAUUUUUAAAAAAUAUGAAAAAAAUCCUACAAAUAAAAAUAAUUAACAACUUAAAAAAUUUUGAAAGAUAUAAAAUAUUUAACUGACUCUCGAAAUUAUAUCAGUGUCAUUUAUAUUGAAAUAGAAGAAAAAUUAUUACAAAUUACAGUAAUUAAAAACUUAAAUUAUUUAAAAAUUUUAAUUGCCUAUUAAUGCCACAAAAGUUUGUACAGAAAGAGUAACAUAUAUUAUUUGAAAAUUACAUAAAAAAAAAUUAUAAAAUACAGUAUUUAACAGCUUAAAAUAUCUAAAAAAAAUUAAUUUAUUAUAUAUUCAAAGAAAUACGUAAAAUUACUAUAGCUCACAAUAUUUAACAACUUAAAAUUUUUAAAAGAUAUAAAUAUUUCGUUAAAUCUCGAAAUUAUAUCAGUGCCACUUAAAUUGAAAUAGUUAAAAAUAUAAUUGACUAUUAAUGAUGCAAAAGUUUGGACAAGGAGAGUAACAUAUAUUAUUAAAAAUUACAUAAAAAGUAUUAUAAAUUACAAUAGCUAACAACUUAAAAUAUCUAAACAAAAUUUAAUCUAUUAUACUUAAAAAAAAAAAGACGUAAAAAAAACUAUAAAUCACAAUAAUUAACAACUUAAAUUUUUUUAUGGAUAAAAAAUAUUUGAUUGACUAUCGAAAUUAUUUGAUAUGACAUAUUUGGUUGAUUGACGAAAUUAAUUGUGGCACUUUGAUGAAAACUUCGGACGAGGCAACAUCUUAUAUUUUUCCCCUUUUACAACAACAAUAUCAUUACAAAUCUACCUAAUUAUCUUCAUUGUUUUCAGCUUUCUCACUAUUGGGCCUGUGCUCAGCACAAGCAUAUCCCACUAAUCAUAAACUAAAGAGGAGUUAAUUUAUAUUUGAUAUAUCUAAGGUUCAUAAACUAAAGGGGAGUUUGUGUUAUUUAAAGAUACUCUGGGUAAUUAAGCAAACAAAUUAUGGAAAAAUAGAGGAGACAAACAGUCAAUAUUGUUUGCUAUAAAUUUUAUGGUGAAAGAAAUAAAUUACAAUCACAAAUAAAAUAUGAAAAAAUAAGAAUUUUUAUUGAUAAAUGGUAUGGAUACAAUUCAGUUCCUCCCUUGAUUCUUAUCUAUUGAUUUUCUCUGUAAUUCGAGGGCCGUUAGUAUCAUAUUUCUCGAUAGUAGGAUGAUCUCUUUAUGAAUAUCCCAUAAUUUUAUAGGAUAUUAAAGAUUUUGGAGAUUUGGAUCUCUUUAUGAAUAUCCCAUGAAUUUGUGGGAUAUAUAAGAUGCCUCUUUAAGGAAAUAUUUGCCCCUUUAUAUAGGAAGAAUUUAGGGUUUAGAGAAGUGGCCUCCCGAACUCUAACAGAAAUUAGAUUCUUAUAGAGUCCACAAAAUUCAAUGUCUAUAAAUGCCCCCUACUUCAAGGUUUGUCGGAGUGUAGACUUGAUGAAACUCAAAGGCGAGUCUUGAAGUACCCAUAGAGCUUUCAUGUUCACGAUGUUGCGGCUAGAGAUUUGCAUAUCUGAUUUACGAGAGAAGAGAUGAAGAGCACAUUUGGUCCCACUGGGCGUGCCAGUUUGUUUAGAAUAAAUUUCACAGUGACAAAAAUAAAUUACAAUCACAAAUAAAAUGUGAAGAAACAAGAAUUUUUAUUGAUAAACGAUAUAGGUAAAGUUUUGUUCUUCCCUUGGUUCUUCUCUCUUAAUUUUCUACGUAAUUCGAGGGCCGUUAGUAGCAUAUUUCUUGAACGUAGGAAGAUUGAAAUUUGAUAUGAAUUUUUUCCAUAAUUUGAGGGUCGUUAGUGGUGUGUUUCUCGAAUAUAGGGAUAUUUGGAUUUGAUCUCUAUGAAGGGGGAGGGGGGUCUUCUUGAUGUUUUUGAUUAUCAAGAAGAAGGGGUUUUGAUCCCUUUAUGAUAUUUGAUGAGUUUAUGAAAUUAUCGAGAGAUGGUUGAUCUCUUUAUGAAUAUCCCGUAAAUUUAUCGGAUAUUGGAGAUGCCUUUUUAAGAAAAUAUUUGCCUCUUUAUACAGGCGUAUUUUAGGGUUUAGAGUAGAGUAGUCUUCCCAACUCUAACAGAAAUUAGAUUUUUGUAGAGUCCACAAAAUUUCAAUGUCUACAUACAUGUUGGAACCUUGCUGCCAUAAUAAAUUUAAGAUGGAUUAGAUUAAGGGUGUGUUUGGUACAGAGGAAAAAGUUUUCGAAUUUCCUCAUUUUUAGUUAAAAAGUUCUUUUGGAAAGUAUUUUCUCUAGGAGAAUAAUUUUUUUUUAAAUGAAGAAAAUGUCUUUCUUAAUUAGAGUAGAAAAAAUGAGUUUCAUAAGUGAAAAAAUAAGUUUCAUAAGUGACUUUCUAAGUUCAUUAUCUCCUCCUCGAUCAUAUAGCGUUGCCAGCCCCUUGACCAUCCCACCCCGCCACCCAUGAGGCCCCAUUCUCCCACCCCUUCCUCUCCAUUUGUGUUUUGUUAUAUUACACAUGAAUGCUUUUGAGAUAAAAUUUCUUGCUUACUUACCAAACUUUCGAAAAUAAGUAAGAAACUCACUUAUUUUUUUAAGAAAAUAUUUUCUAGCGAAAAAUAUUUUUCAUGAGAAAUAUGUUCCCUCGUACCAAAGUCCAAACACGCCCUAAGACAAGUUGCAUUUGAGGAUAAACUAUUGAUACCAAGUUUUUUUUUUAGUUUCCCAUUCGGUGUUCGGAGCCCGCAUUGGAGCCCCGACUAAUCUGGAUCGCGCAUUGUAGGGCCCAUUAAGGUGACAAUGCUCCCAAUAGAGUUUUCUCCAUACCCAGGAUCGAACCAUCGACCUCUGAUUAAGGGUGGAACAGCCUCAUCCACUGUACUACAACCCAUGUUGGUGUUGAUACCAAGUUUAGUAAAGAAUGAUUAAAUUGGACCAAAAAUCACUUGAUUUUCAGAAGAAAAAAAGAAGUGGAAGACAUUGAAGUUGAUUUCACGUUGCGUCAAGUCCACUUUUAAUUUCUUUUUUUCAUCAAAUUGCAUUCACUUUUGUCUCCUAAUCGGUGUCAAGCUUUGGUCGAUGACUUUAUCAUCUAACAAGUGGGAUUACUCUAGGAAUUAUAUUGAAAUGUUAAUGUUUCUAAAUGUUUGACAAAUUAUUUUUGAAUUUAACAUCUACAUUAAUAGUAUAAUUACAUUAUCUAUUCACCUAAAAGAUAGCAAUAUGUAAUUAUCUAAUAUCACUAAAAGUAAUUACCUUAAAACUAAAAUAAGCAACCUACUAUAACAUGCUAAAUUAUACAAAUAAUAUACUCGUAAGCAUAUACAAAUUAUAUUCAUUUAUUUUCUACAUUUUCUCUUAUUCUUUUGUUAUAGUGGCGAAAGCUGUUAAACCAUUAUUAUUUUUAUAUGUAUGUUGGAACACCUCAUAACCACGUUGCAUAAACUGUCUUUCAAGUGGUUUCUUUACUAUUUCACUGGAUACGUAAAUGAUUUUGUAAUAUUAGGUAUGUGGGUAAGUCAUAACCAACUUCAGUACAAUUUUAUGAGUACUAUUUUAGAAUACGUACAUUGCACGUGUAUUUAAUAUAUUUAAUAAAAUGAAAAAAUUGACAUAAAUUUAUAAAUAAAUUAAAUUAUAUCGAAAGAUCAACUGCAAAUCACAUAACAACUAAAUAGAAGUAAUUUUAUUUAUCAAGAUUGUGAGUAUAACUUAGUAAUAUUCUAUUGAUUUUUUUUUUCUAAAUUUUUUUCGUGAUUCGAGAACAUAGGAUGAUUUGACCUCUCUGUUAUGUAUUUGAUUACCAAGAAUUAAUGUCAUGCAUCACUUUGAUAGAUCCAUUUUAUCUAGAGGAAGAUCACCUCAUUAUACUGUAUUCACUAUAGAUAAGAAACGGUGGAGGUCCCAAAUAUUUUUUUGAUAUCCGAGUCAUCUUGUUGCAUACCUUGACCAAUUUCAUGGGUUGUCUGUAGCUCAAUCCGUUCGACCUGCUAGAAUUUGAAUGUGAGACCUUAUAAAUCUCAACUCACUUCAUUACUAUUAGGCUAUAUCCUUGGUGUGGAGGUUGAUGGGUGAUGAAUUUACCACUCAUUUACAUCCAAAAUUUGUGCACACUACUAUGAUUUGAAGGUAUGAAUGAGACAACUUUGUUAGUUGAAUACACUAAUUUUCACAUUUUGUAGGUAUAUAGGUGAUGAAAAGAAAAGAUGUGGAAUUGAGCUUAAAAGGGAUCAAAAAGGGAAUAGAAGUGCAAAAGCUGGAAGACCCUAAGCAGGAACUGGUCUUAGUUACUGUGAUCGCGGCCAGUCAAGUUUGGUUAAAUGCCCACAAUUUCGAUAAUCCUAUGGCGGCCGCGGUAGCAACGGUAAUCGUGGCUUAGUGGGUUUAUGCCCAGGGGCAAUUUUGUAAUUUUACGUAGCCGAC